UAAUUGAAGAGUUUGAUCAUGGCUCAGAUUGAACGCUGGCGGCAGGCCUAACACAUGCAAGUCGAGCGGUAACAGGAGAAAGCUUGCUUUCUUGCUGACGAGCGGCGGACGGGUGAGUAAUGUAUGGGGAUCUGCCCGAUAGAGGGGGAUAACUACUGGAAACGGUGGCUAAUACCGCAUAAUGUCUACGGACCAAAGCAGGG
rnacentral:rRNA from 1 species